rnacentral:rRNA from 1 species
AACGAACGCUGGCGGCAUGCCUAACACAUGCAAGUCGAACGAGACCUUCGGGUCUAGUGGCGCACGGGUGCGUAACGCGUGGGAACCUGCCUUUAGGUUCGGAAUAACUCAGAGAAAUUUGAGCUAAUACCGGAUGAUGUCUUCGGACCAAAGAUUUAUCGCCUUUAGAUGGGCCCGCGUUGGAUUAGCUAGUUGGUGGGGUAAAGGCCUACCAAGGCGACGAUCCAUAGCUGGUCUGAGAGGAUGAUCAGCCACACUGGGACUGAGACACGGCCCAGACUCCUACGGGAGGCAGCAGUGGGGAAUAUUGGACAAUGGGCGAAAGCCUGAUCCAGCAAUGCAGCGUGAGUGAUGAAGGCCUUAGGGUUGUAAAGCUCUUUUACCCGAGAUGAUAAUGACAGUAUCGGGAGAAUAAGCUCCGGCUAACUCCGUG